UACGGGGGGGGGCAAGCUUGUUCGGAAUUACUGGGCGUAAAGGGCGCGUAGGCGGCCUGCUAAGUCACACGUGAAAUCCCUCGGCUCAACCGGGGAACUGCGUGUGAUACUGGCGGGCUUGAAUUCGGGAGAGGGAUGUGGAAUUCCAGGUGUAGCGGUGAAAUGCGUAGAUAUCUGGAGGAACACCGGUGGCGAAGGCGGGUCUCUGGCCGAUACUGACGCUGAGGAGCGAAAGCGUGGGAGCGAACAGG
rnacentral:rRNA from 1 species